CGCCCUUAGAGUUUGAUCCUGGCUCAGGAUGAACGCUGGCGGCGUGCCUAAUACAUGCAAGUCGAACGAAUCUCUUUUAGAGAUGAGUGGCGAACGGGUGAGUAAUACAUAGGUAACCUGCCCCUGUGCGGGGGAUAACAGGAGGAAACUCCUGCUAAUACCGCAUAGCCAUGAGCACCGCAUGGAGCUCAUGCCAAAUAUCCUUUAUGGGAUAGCGCAGGGAUGGACCUAUGGCGCAUUAGCUGGUUGGCGGGGCAACGGCCCACCAAGGCAACGAUGCGUAGCCGGCCUGAGAGGGCGGACGGCCACAUUGGGACUGAGACACGGCCCAGACUCCUACGGGAGGCAGCAGUAGGGAAUUUUCGGCAAUGGGGGAAACCCUGACCGAGCAACGCCGCGUGAGCGAAGAAGGCCUUCGGGUCGUAAAGCUCUGUUGUAAAGGAAGAACGGCGCAUACAGGAAAUGGUAUGCGAGUGACGGUACUUUACCAGAAAGCCACGGCUAACUACGUGCCAGCAGCCGCGGUAAUACGUAGGUGGCGAGCGUUAUCCGGAAUCAUUGGGCGUAAAGAGGGAGCAGGCGGCCGCAAGGGUCUGUGGUGAAAGACCGAAGCUAAACUUCGGUAAGCCAUGGAAACCGGGCGGCUAGAGUGCGGAAGAGGAUCGUGGAAUUCCAUGUGUAGCGGUGAAAUGCGUAGAUAUAUGGAGGAACACCAGUGGCGAAGGCGACGGUCUGGGCCGCAACUGACGCUCAUUCCCGAAAGCGUGGGGAGCAAAUAGGAUUAGAUACCCUAGUAGUCCACGCCGUAAACGAUGGUCACUAAGUGUCGGGGGUCAAACCCCGGUGCUGCAGUCAACGCA
rnacentral:rRNA from 1 species